ACUGCUCAGUAACACGUAGUCAACAUGCCCAGGGGACGUGGAUAACCUCGGGAAACUGAGGAUAAACCACGAUAAGUCACUACUUCUGGAAUGGGUAAUGACUCAAAUCUACAUGGCCCCUGGAUUGGACUGCGGCCGAUCAGGCCGUUGGUGAGGUAAUGGCCCACCAAACCUGUAACCGGUACGGGCUCUGAGAGGAGGAGUCCGGAGAUGGGCACUGAGACAAGGGCCCGGGCCCUAUGGGGCGCAGCAGGCGCGAAACCUCUGCAAUAGGCGAAAGCCUGACAGGGUUACUCUGAGUGAUUUCCGUUAAGGAGAUCUUUUGGCACCUCUAAAAAUGGUGCAGAAUAAGGGGUGGGCAAGUCUGGUGUCAGCCGCCGCGGUAAUACCAGCACCCCGAGUGGUCGGGACGUUUAUUGGGCCUAAAGCAUCCGUAGCCGGUUCUACAAGUCUUCCGUUAAAUCCACCUGCUUAACAGAUGGGCUGCGGAAGAUACUAUAGAGCUAGGAGGCGGGAGAGGCAAGCGGUACUCGAUGGGUAGGGGUAAAAUCCGUUGAUCCAUUGAAGACCACCAGUGGCGAAGGCGGCUUGCCAGAACGCGCUCGACGGUGAGGGAUGAAAGCCGGGGGAGCAAACCGGAUUAGAUACCCGGGUAGUCCCAGCUGUAAACGAUGCAGACUCGGUGAUGAGUUGGCUUUAUGCCAACUCAGUGCCGCAGGGAAGCCGUUAAGUUUGCCGCCUGGGGAGUACGGUCGCAAGACUGAAACUUAAAGGAAUUGGCGGGGGAGCAC
rnacentral:rRNA from 1 species